GACGAACGCUGGCGGCGUGCCUAAUACAUGCAAGUCGAACGCACUCUCGUUUAGAUUGAAGGAGUUUGCUCCUGAUUGAUAAACAUUUGAGUGAGUGGCGGACGGGUGAGUAACACGUGGGUAACCUGCCCUAAAGUGGGGGAUAACAUUUGGAAACAGAUGCUAAUACCGCCUAAAACCUAACACCGCAUGGUGUAGGGUUGAAAGAUGGUUUCGGCUAUCACUUUAGGAUGGACCCGCGGUGCAUUAGUUAGUUGGUGAGGUAAAGGCUCACCAAGACCGUGAUGCAUAGCCGACCUGAGAGGGUAAUCGGCCACACUGGGACUGAGACACGGCCCAGACUCCUACGGGAGGCAGCAGUAGGGAAUCUUCCACAAUGGACGAAAGUCUGAUGGAGCAACGCCGCGUGAGUGAAGAAGGUUUUCGGAUCGUAAAACUCUGUUGUUGGAGAAGAAUGUAUCUGAUAGUAACUGAUCAGGUAGUGACGGUAUCCAACCAGAAAGCCACGGCUAACUACGUG
rnacentral:rRNA from 1 species